rnacentral:lncRNA from 1 species
CUCAUGGGAGGAGGUCUAGGAUUAGAGUCAGAAAACUGCCUUUUUUGAGCACCCUGAUCUGAUUUUUGUUGUAGCCAGAGCUGAGCUUUCAGGAAAAAAAUAAAACACUGUCCUGGCAGGUGACAAGAUGGGCUACAGACCAGGUGGCACCUUAUUUAAACCUUAAAGGUCUUGUGAGAUCUAGCUGAUCUUUUGCAUCUCACACUCUUCUCUCCAUUGCUCUCUGGGCUACAGCCACACUCUGGAAAAAAGCAGUUUGCCUCAGGGCACUUACAGUUGGCCAUUCCUCUGCCUGCACAUCUUUGCAUCAUGACUGCCUCCUGUCAUUGAGACCUCAGCUUAAAUGAUACCCAGAAAGGGUCCUUCCCAAUCCCCUUAUCUGGAGCAGCCUCACCUCAGAAACUUUCACUUAGCCCUGUUUAAUAACCUUCAUAGCACUUACUAAUACACGAAAUUCUCUUGCUUAUGUGCUUACUUCAUAAAAGCCUGCCAUCCUCCAUUGGAAUUUCAGACACCUUGCCUGCCUUGUUGGUUGCAGCAUUAGUAUGAUUGAACAGAGUUCCUGGGAUCUGCUUACUCACUCAUUCAGUAAAUAUAUGUUGGAGGGAGAGGGCAAUUCUAUGGCCAUGAGCAAUUCCAUAUUCUGAGGAUACAAAGAAAAGACAAAAAUUCCUGCCCUUGUGGAAUCUAUACUUAGAAGGAGGUAGGCAGAAUUGGAGAUCAGGAAGACUGAGAAUGAGGAGGCUGAGAUUACUGCUGCUCAGACGAUGGGGAUUGCCUUAGAGGUGAUGAAAAGUGGUAAGGUUCUGGAUGUAUUUCAGAAGGGCAGGGGCAGAGUCUGGUAUAGGGUGUGUAAGGAAGAAAACGAGAAGGAUGAGUUCAAGAGUUUUGGCCUGAAAACUGGAAAGAUGGAGGUGCUGUCCGCUGAGAUGGAGAAAGCCUCAAGAGAAGAGGUUGAGGUGCCUGGAGCUCAAUUUUGGACAUGUUACUUUGCAUUCAUAGACAUCCGGUGAAGUUGUGUCCAAGACAAGGAGACCAUUGGGUCUGUGGUGGAGGCUGAAGAGGUGGGAUGCAUGAAGCCCAAGGAUCUCCGUGGAGGUGUGAGGAGGGAGCAGGCAGAGGCCCAAAAGA